UACGUAGGGUGCAAGCGUUGUCCGGAAUUAUUGGGCGUAAAGAGCUCGUAGGCGGUCUGUCGCGUCUGCUGUGAAAACUCAGGGCUUAACCCUGAGCUUGCAGUGGGUACGGGCAGACUAGAGUGCGGUAGGGGAGACUGGAAUUCCUGGUGUAGCGGUGAAAUGCGCAGAUAUCAGGAGGAACACCGAUGGCGAAGGCGGGUCGCUGGGCCGUAACUGACGCUGAGGAGCGAAAGCAUGGGGAGCGAACAGG
rnacentral:rRNA from 1 species